rnacentral:lncRNA from 1 species
CGCUCUGCACUAUCGUGAAUGUGUUUCCAUAGUGUAUGACCAGAUUAUCAGAGGUUUUUGGGACCCACUCUCGUACACACAUAGGCUUUGAGCCGUGUACUAGGGUGAUUAGCCUUUGGGGCAACUCUGCGUACGUAUGACCAGAUUAUCAGCUAUCAGAUUAUCAGAUUUGAAUGGCUUUGCCUUAUACAUCGAGAUUACUCUGUACAUGUGUAAGGCUAUUCAUUGGAUACUCUUUAUGGUGUGAUUUUUCAGUACUUAUUUAGUUCUCAGAUUUCAGAUUAUGGAAUUUAGUUAAUUCAGUUUUCAGAAUAAAGCUUUCAGCUUCUAGUAUUGAGCAGCAGCAAUAUUUCAUAGAUUUUCAUGAAUAUCAGAUUCUUUAUAAUUGUUAUACCUUACAGAUGCUUAUCUAGAAUUUAGAACAAAGAAUUUUAUGAUGAAAUUAUGUUUAGUUUUAAAAGUGUUACCAGAUUUCAGAAUUUCUCAAAGUUUUGAUAGAGCAAGAAUUUUCAGAAUAUAUGCAUAAAAAAAAAUAUGUUUAUUUGUAAAUUAUCCACUCACAUAACUUUAAGCUCAUAUAUUUUUUCACCUUUUUCUUUAUCAGACAGAAAACAGACAAAUUGAGCAGCUUUGGAGCAUGUCGAACUACCGAAUUGAGCCACGCAUCAUAAGUUGUAUGACAUCUUUUAUCAGAUUAUACAUUGUGUUCUUUUGGGAUACACAUAGGUUAAAUCAGAAAAGUUCAUUAUGGGCUCAUUAGACAUUUGGUAUCUUUAGUACUUUUAAAGAUUAUUGGUUGUAAAGCAAGUAAAUAUUGAUUUCCUAGCAUUUUAUUUGAAUAGUUUGUAUUUUUGAGGGACUCGCAUAUCCUGAUUUAUAUUAUAGGUAUUGAUUUGAGGAAAAUUAGUUAUUGUUCAGGUGGUUUUAGUUCGUAUUUUAGAG